GCCUUCGUGGUGUAGUGGUCAGCAAACUCGGCAUGUAUUCGAGAGGCCCAUGGUUCGAGUCCCGGCGAGGGCA
rfam:Stegodyphus mimosarum contig126242, whole genome shotgun sequence.